UGGCUCAUUGGUUAGAGCACUGGAUGCUCUUCCAGAGGACCUGGGUUCANUUCCCAG
rnacentral:tRNA from 1 species